rnacentral:lncRNA from 1 species
UAGUCAUCACGAGGCAUGUUGGAUUAUUUGAACUACUUGAAAUAGUGUUAUUUUUUAUAAUGUGUUAUUUUUUAUAAUGGUCAGAAAAGCAUUGGACUUUGGAAAAGAAACUUCAAAGAUGAACUUUACAUUGUGUGUACCAAAGCCAAAGCAACAAGCAGAAGCACCUUAACCAGUUUAUGGAGAGAUAGUUUUACUUAGUUAUUUCCUUGUUUUUGCUUUGGGCCUAGUUGCCUUGUACUUGCUCUUUGUACACAACUUUCUUUCAUUUAAUUGAAAACCAAAAAAAGAAAAAAAUAGGUAGGCUUAAGCUGCUGAUGUUCCUCCCAUGCACACACAUUGCCUCAACCACUUAGGGCC